rnacentral:rRNA from 1 species
AUUGAACGCUGGCGGCAUGCCUUACACAUGCAAGUCGAACGGUAACAGGUCUUCGGAUGCUGACGAGUGGCGAACGGGUGAGUGAUACAUCGGAACGUGCCCAGACGUGGGGGAUAACGAGGCGAAAGCUUUGCUAAUACCGCAUACGAUCUAAGGAUGAAAGCAGGGGACCGCAAGGCCUUGUGCGUUUGGAGCGGCCGAUGGCAGAUUAGGUAGUUGGUGGGAUAAAAGCUUACCAAGCCGACGAUCUGUAGCUGGUCUGAGAGGACGACCAGCCACACUGGGACUGAGACACGGCCCAGACUCCUACGGGAGGCAGCAGUGGGGAAUUUUGGACAAUGGGCGAAAGCCUGAUCCAGCAAUGCCGCGUGCAGGAUGAAGGCCUUCGGGUUGUAAACUGCUUUUGUACGGAACGAAAAGGCUCUGGCUAAUACCUGGGGCACAUGACGGUACCGUAAGAAUAAGCACCGGCUAACUACGUG